UUCGUUUUUUUUUUAUUUUAUUUUUUUGUAUUUUUGCGGUGAAGCGGCCCGUGACACGCAUGUCAGAAAUGUGUAUGGCCCGCAGGCCGAAAAAGGUUGGGCAUCACUGUGUUAAUGGAUUCUAGUUGGCGGGACAUGCUGAGAGCGACAACCCUAGGAGGGAGGAUGAACUGUGAGUAACGUACUCAACGAUCGCUAGUGCAGUCAUAAGAUAGAUAAUAGAACUGGAACCUCGCUACUAAACAGAAGAGAGUGCGAGGAGUGUAAUCUUCAUACUUGGAUUGUAUGAUUGAACUAUGCUGUGAUUGAUCGGGGAAGUACCCCGGAUGUAAACAUUGUGUCUAUCGUUAGACGUUUGUCGCCUUAAGAACGAGGUGUUGAGACGAGUUGUUCUUAAUGCGUGUUUUCUUGUAGUCCUGAUCAGCCACUCGACGACCAAAUGAAGAUGAUGUGGGCAGCCUCAGGCAAUCGUUUUAUUGUGUAAACAACGUGCAUUUGUCUGGCUGAGUGAGUUAUAAACCACCCAUGCCGUGACAUCGUAUUAAGACCUAUAGACUAUAUACUUCUCUAGUUUUCAACGAACUCUAUCAGGCCGGACACCGAGCGGUGCUGGCAUCACCUGGACACUGGUACUUUACGACUUUUGAAUUGUUAGCGUCUCUUAGAGUCGCCCUCGUACCAUCCGUCCACCUGUCAGGUUGUCUUCUUACCUUAUUUUUGACUCCAGCUUUCUUGCUUGUAUGGAUGCAAGUGGUUGAGUUAGUGGUUGUAAAGCGUAACAAAACAUUCCAUCACGAUCUAAUAUCCCUGGCCUGCUAAAACGAGGCAUGACAAAAAGGCUUCCGGUUUCGUCACAUUCUUUGUUACGGCACCGAGACUAACAGCGGAGAACUUCGCAAAAGGCUAAGUGUUGGUCUUGGCAGACAGACAGCAGUCCACCUGCACAUGUCCGCGGUUCCAUUGCGCUUGGUGAGGGGGGAGGGGAUUGGUGUUUUACGCCGUGCCAGCAGCUGAGGCUAUAUCACGGCAAGGCAGCCAGCCCUGUAAACAGAUGCCACGUGCAGAGAAAGAACAGCGUGCCCGAGACGAGAAAUGAACUCAGGGCAGCCAACCUUCACUGUGUUGGUGACUGACGCUAACCGUUGCGCCACCGGACCGCUCUUUGCGCUUGGUGAGAUCUGUGGGCGGGAAGGCAACAGUGAACAGGAAGAAGAGAGGUGGGGAAGCGGCUGGUCAUUUCCACCUGUGGACCUGCUGCCUUCAUCGACCCUCCCUGACCACGCCUCAAUGGAAGACCUCAUCGUCCCAAAGUGAAAGCCGAAUCAAGCAGGCCCUGGGCUAAAUAAAUGCCAGAGCAAUAACACUUGUUUCAUAAAAACCCAACGAUUAUACAGUCAUAAAACAAACGAGUGACCACGACACAGGCUUUUAAAAAAACAUACACAAGAAAAUCGUGUUACACGCCACUGUGUGAUUUACUCUGUGUAUUGCCAAGCGGCCAUGGUUUAUUUACCAUGAUGGCUGGCUGAACUUGUUUAAAGUAAGUAUGGCUCUGUUGAUAACAUUCUGACGUCUAUAGACAGCCUGUCACUGGAGACCGUACAUCUUUGAGGCCUGAGUGGAUCUGACUUUCGGUGUUGGGACAUGGCAGCUAUGAUGGUAACAUGAUUCGGGUCGAAAUGACCGGUGACCCAAUGAACAACGAGUUCCUUUCAAAAUGUACUUAUUUUACCUGACUUCUGUACAUAAUCGUAAUAUAGGGUAAGUGGCCGACCAGAAGCAGUCUGUUAUGUAAAAUAUACUUUUUUUCAUAUGUACACAACUUUUGCACUCAAAACAAGUAACAGAGCUCAAACUUCCAGGAGGUAAGGUGGGUUGUCGUAAGAGAGAUGUUUAUAUCGCGAAAUACGUCUGUGAAAAAUGUUUGGGUCCAGUAUGGGGGUCUUGCAGCACCUGGCACGCACCAACGAUGAUGUUGAUAUACUGACCUUUGCUAGCUUAUUUUGUUGUCCUUUUUCCUCUUUUGGUUGUGUCCCUGUAAAUUUGUACUUGUACAUUACUUCCAACUGAAUUUAUCUUUUAUUUGAUUUAUGAUUUACUCCAUGUAGCUUUUAUUCAGCUGAUAUUGUGGGGACUUGAGAUACUCUCUGUCCAUCCAGUUCCCUCAACAGCCAGUUAGGUCAAGGUACCAGAAUAAAAUUUAACACAUUUUAAAAGUUAAGCUGUUUAAUAUUCUCAGUUUUGCAUGUUUCUUAUGUUGCAGUUUCAAACACAGUUCCACAUUCUGAGAUACAUUCUGAUUUACACACGGAUGCUACUAAUAUCACCAUAUUCUAAGUCUUAGUAUUAUCAUUAUAUUCUUAGUCAUGAUUGUAACAGUGGUGCUGCUACUAUUAUCAUCAUAUUCUUAGUCUUGAUUGUAACAAUGCUACUAUUAUUGUAACAGUGCUACUAUGAUUGUAACAAUGUUCUUGCUGACAAUAAAUAUAUUAUACAUA